UAAUAUGAUGUGAUUGAUAAAAAAUAGAUUUUAUUAAAAAUAGUGUUAAUUUAAAUUUUAAAUAUGAAUAAAUCAGUAUUGGUACAUAGAUUAAUAUGCGACUGUACUUGUAUGUAGUAAAACUCUUACUGCUUCUUAACAAAUCCAAAAUCCUGGCCAUAAUAAAUGGAAAAAAAGCACAAAUGCGCACGAAUGUACGCACCAACCAUUAUGAUUGGUCAAAAAUUAAUUUUUAUUAAAAAUUAUGUUAAUUUAAAUUUCGAAUAUAAAUGAAUAAGUAUUACUGCACAGUAGGCGAUUUUGCCUUAAGGUAACAAAACCCUUUCUUCUUAUAACUUACAGCAGAAAUCCUAGUCCAAGAACGUGUCCAACUAGAUUUUGGGGUCAGGCUUCUUGUGAAAUGUUUUUGGAAGUCGCGUUUGAAAGUGAUUGGUUUCUUUGGCAUUUAAUAUGGAUUUUGUUGGAAACUUUCAUAUCUUGAUCCAUUCGUUGUCAUAAGUUUCCAGGUUUGUUGCAAGUGGUGCUCUUGUUCUUUCUUUCUGAAAUUAAUCUGUGUAUUUUGAAUUUGAAAUUGAUGCACGACUGUAAGUCUGUAAUGCUUCUGUUCUUUUCGAUGCUGCUGAAGGGAUUGACUCCAAGAAAGUCUCCUCCCAAUGGAACUUCAAAAGGUUGCGACGCGACCUCACUCUCAGCAUCAGCAGCACUAUCACCUUUCCUUGAAGGCUCACCAUCGUCCUCAACUGAGGAGCCUGGAAUGGCUACAAGUAAUUGGAACCUGGAUCACCAUUUUGCACCAUGUGUACCAUAGUCUUUUGCAAGGAAGAGGAGUCCUUUACUCCGACCACAGCUAUGGCAGGGGAAGAAACUAGGAUUUGGGUCAGAGCAUAUGAUUGGGACACCUCCUUGUUGGGCCAAGACUUUCACUUGCAGUGAAGAAGCUGUCAAACCUUCAAGUAUUGACAGCCACAGUGGGACAGAUCCUACUCAAUUGUUCAAAAGUGGGGUACCGAAGAGGGUUCCACCGGUGGGAGAGGGGGUGGGGCCACCGGGGGCAUGUGGCCUGUAGUACCUGUUCAGCCAACAUCAAUGUUUUAUGUCCUAUAUGCUUUCUAUUUUCACCUACUCGUUGAAGAAUUGAACCCCCUGAACUCUGAAGCGACUUGACAUAUUCUGCUACUUGAAUGCAUCUCUGUUGUUGUAUCAUAUUUUUAGCACCCAGAAAAAGGGUAAUCCCUGUUGAUUCUUA